UUAUAACCGCGUUAGCGAUUGUAGUGGCAUCCUUUUGCUUUUCGCAAAAGAUAUAACGGAAAGCGCGACCUUUA
rnacentral:sRNA from 1 species